rnacentral:rRNA from 1 species
GCAUAUCAAUAAGCGGAGGAAAAGAAAAUAACAAUGAUUCCCUCAGUAACGGCGAGCGAAGAGGGAUAAGCUCAAAUUUUAAAUCUGUUGGGUUCCACUUAAUAGAGUUGUAUUUUGAAGAAACGUUUUCUGCGUCCAGGAUUAGCCUAAAUCCUUUGGGAUAAGGUAUCAUGGAGGGUGAGAAUCCCGUUCAUGGUUAAUCUUAAGGAAGCUCUACGAUACGUUUUCCAAGAGUCGAGUUGUUUGGGAUUGCAGCUCAAAAUGGGAGGUAAAUUUCUCCUAAGGCUAAAUAUUGGCGAGAGACCGAUAGCGAACAAGUACCGUGAGGGAAAGAUGAAAAGAACUUUGAAAAGAGAGUUAAACAGUACGUGAAAUUGUUGAAAGGGAAACGAUUGAAGUCAGUCAUACCAACGGGAAAUCAACCUUCUGAGCUUGGUCUCGUGGGUUUUGAAGAGUUUCAAAGCCUUCGGAUUCGCGGGAUUGGGAUCUCUUGGUGUACUUUUUCGUACGGUUAGUCAACAUCGGUUUUGAAUGUCAUAAAAUGACUGGAGGAAUGUAGCUUCGAUCUCGUAUUGAAGUGUUAUAGACUUUGGUAGAUGUGAUGUUUGAGACCGAGGAUUGCAACGGAUACCCUUCAGGGCUAUUCGUCUGAUCUCUGAUACGUUGCCUUGAUGUUGAAAGCUUGCUUAUGAUGUUAGGGUAUUACGGUCAAAAGGUUAGAACGAAUUACAUUCGUUAAGGAUGUUGACGUA